rnacentral:rRNA from 1 species
UACAGAGGGGGCAAGCGUUGUUCGGAAUUACUGGGCGUAAAGGGCGCGUAGGCGGCCCGCUAAGUCGAACGUGAAAUCCCUGGGCUCAACCCAGGAACUGCGUCCGAUACUGGCAGGCUUGAAUCCGGGAGAGGGAUGUGGAAUUUCAGGUGUAGCGGUGAAAUGCGCAGAUAUCAGGAGGAACACCGGUGGCGAAGGCGGGUCUCUGGGCCGAAACUGACGCUGGAGGCGCGAAGGCGUGGGGAGCGAACGGG